rnacentral:rRNA from 1 species
AUGGGCCCGUUACGGCGAGUGAAGCGGCAAGAGCUCAAAUUUGAAAGCUGGCUCCUUCGGGGUCCGCAUUGUAAUUUGCAGAGGAUGCUUCGGGAGCGGUCCCCAUCUAAGUGCCCUGGAACGGGACGUCAUAGAGGGUGAGAAUCCCGUAUGGGAUGGGGUGUCCGCGCCCGUGUGAAGCUCCUUCGACGAGUCGAGUUGUUUGGGAAUGCAGCUCUAAUGGGUGGUAAAUUUCAUCUAAAGCUAAAUAUUGGCCGGAGACCGAUGCGCACAAGUAGAGUGAUCGAAAGAUGAAAAGCACUUUGAAAAGAGAGUUAAAAAGCACGUGAAAUUGUUGAAAGGGAAGCGCUUGCGACCAGACUCGCUCGCGGGGUUCAGCCGGCAUUCGUGCCGGUGUACUUCCCCGCGGGCGGGCCAGCGUCGGUUUGGGCGGUCGGUCAAAGGCCCUCGGAAGGUAACGCCCCUAGGGGCGUCUUAUAGCCGAGGGUGCAAUGCGACCUGCCUAGACCGAGGAACGCGCUUCGGCUCGGACGCUGGCAUAAUGGUCGUAAGCGACCCGUCUUGAACCCCCGGGACACCAAA